rnacentral:rRNA from 1 species
AUAUGCUGGUCUCAAAGAUUAAGCCAUGCAUGUCUAAGUACAAGCCUCACUAAGGUGAAACCGCGAAUGGCUCAUUAAAUCACACCUAAUCUACUGGAUAGUUAACAGUUACUUGGAUAACUGCGGUAAUUCUGGAGCUAAUACAUGCACAAAGCCCCGAACCUACGUGAGGGGCGCUUUUAUUAGAUCAAAACCAAACGGCUUCGGCUGUACUCUUGGUGACUCUGAAUAACUUUGGGCUGAUCGUACGGCCUAGCGCCGACGACAUAUCCUUCGAAGGUGUGCCCUAUCAACUGUCGACUGUGGCAUAGACGCCCACAGUGGUUUUGACGGGUAACGGGGAAUCAGGGUUCGAUUCCGGAGAGGGAGCCUUAAAAACGGCUACCACAUCUAAGGAAGGCAGCAGGCACGCAAAUUACCCAAUGACCGAAGGUCGAGGUAGUGACAAAAAAUAACGAUACGGGACUCAUCUGAGGCCCCGUAAUCGGAAUGAGUACACUUUAAAACCGUCCCCGAGGAUCUAUUGGAGGGCAAGUCUGGUGCCAGCAGCCGCGGUAAUUCCAGCUCCAAUAGCGUAUAUUAAAGUUGUUGUGGUUAAAAAGCUCGUAGUUGGAUCUCGGCGGUCUGAGGGCGGUUCGCUCGAUUGAGUGCUACUGCUC